GACGAACGCUGGCGGCGUGCUUAACACAUGCAAGUCGAACGGAAAGGCCCUGCUUUUGUGGGGUGCUCGAGUGGCGAACGGGUGAGUAACACGUGAGUAACCUGCCCUUGACUUUGGGAUAACUUCAGGAAACUGGGGCUAAUACCGGAUAGGAGCUCCUGCUGCAUGGUGGGGGUUGGAAAGUUUCGGCGGUUGGGGAUGGACUCGCGGCUUAUCAGCUUGUUGGUGGGGUGGUGGCUUACCAAGGCUUUGACGGGUAGCUGGCCUGAGAGGGUGACCGGCCACAUGGGGACUGAGAUACGGCCCAGACUCCUACGGGAGGCAGCAGUGGGGAAUAUUGCACAAUGGGCGGAAGCCUGAUGCAGCAACGCCGCGUGCGGGAUGACGGCCUUCGGGUUGUAAACCGCUUUCGCCUGUGACGAAGCGUGAGUGACGGUAAUGGGUAAAGAAGCACCGGCUAACUACGUG
rnacentral:rRNA from 1 species